rnacentral:sRNA from 1 species
AGAAGUGCGACUGCCAGCUGCCGAGGCGUUCAGUCCUGCUGUUCCGGCCGCUGCCCCAGGGCUGCGGGGACGUGUGAUGUGGAGGAACACAGCACAGCUCUGUAUGGGUGGUGGUAUCUGCGUAGUAAUUCAUGGAAGGCGUCUCCAGCAAUACAGCCUGGACAUCUACAUGUGGGAUUUUGUUCAGCCUUCCAAGAACCUCAUUUUGCACGUGGGGAAACUGAGGCUCAGAGAGGUUGAGGAAUUUGUCUAGGGCUGCAGGCCAUCAGCGGCGAGGCAGGGUCCCAGGGAGACCUGUGCUCUCCCAAUAUUCUAUUGACAGUCAAGCAAAGAAGGCCGCUGUCUUCGUUUCCAAGUGCCACAAUGCAACAAGGCUGAAUGGUGCCGGAGGUCUCCUGGGGAAGCCUAAAGCCUGAGGAGAAGGGCCUGGGACACUGCCCAGCUGGCCUUGUCAUCCUUGUCCUGGAGAUCUGGGGUAUUUGAGCUCUGGAACAAACCCUGUGGCUGGGUCGCUGUGAGGGCCCCGGGCUGCCAUCUGGCCACCCUCA